rnacentral:tRNA from 1 species
GCCGAGAUGAUGGAAUGGUAGACAUCGGGGACUUAAAAUCCCCUGACCGCACUGGUCGUGCCGGUUCGAGUCCGGUUCUCGGCA